UACAAUUCGCCCCCAAAUCUCGUCGUGCCCUACACCAGACCGCAGCUGCCGCCACCCCAAGCAGCGCACCCCCACCGCCGCCACCAACUAUCUCAUGGCCAUCGCCUUCCCUCCACCUUCCAUUGUCGCCUCCCCGACCACUUGCGCCAUCACCCCACCCACCACCCCCCGCCCUGGCGCCCCCAACCACCUCAUAGAGGCGCCGCCGAGCACCCAACCGAGACGGACCACCACCGGCGGCGCCGACCAGCUUCCUCUUCUGGACGCUAGCAAGGUCCCUCUCCGGAGCAUGCCCCUCCCCUCAACCACGUCGCCUACUACGUCACCAACAUUCCUGAGCACGGACUCGGUCGCCACCACUCGUACCGUCCCACCUUUGCAGGUCUACUCCUUUCCUCCCCGUCUGCUCCCCCAUGUUCCUUCCUUAUCGGCACUGCUGGCUGCUUUAGCUCCAUGUGCCAAUACCCGUUGGAGAUGUGGACUUCUUCAUUUACGCCAUGCAUAGCUGUCAUUGACUGAGGCUUAAUCUGCGAUGCUACUGUUGCUACUGAUUUUUUUUAGGUGGAACAAGCUUUCCAAUCUUAUUCCACAUGAUUAAUUUUUUUAGAAACAAAAUCUGGUUAUGUAAAGUAUAUAUACAUCUUUUAAUGUAUGUUUCAGGUGCUAUCUUCAUAGAAGCGGUAUGCCAAUGCUCUCAGAUUUAGUUUCUGUUGUUACUCUAUUCCUAAGUUAGUUACUUUUUUAUUUGCUAGAAUCCACACAGUUGAAAUUCACUUUUUAUUUAUGACAAGUAACUGCAUAUGAACUUGGCUAAUAUUAGGGCAUGCCAGGUUGAUGCCAAAAUACAUACGACCAGUAUAUCAAUGUGUUCUUAUAGAUAAAACUUUAAGGUUACUAAUUCUAAUGGUACAGAGAUUCCACUCCCUAGUAUUCAUGAAAUUGUGACUACUGGUCCUGGUUGUCUUACUGUACAUUUGCUCGGGGUUUUCAUCUGUAUAGUUCAGUGCUUCUAGUUUGGUACUAUUUUCAGAAUGAAAGACAGAUCCUUAAUAUUAUUCCAUAUUGGGUACUCUAAUUCUGUGUGUAAUUUUAAUCCAUUCAUUUCUUCUUUUGCCAAUUUUGUUACUGCUUCUCACUAAGUAGACAUGCUAGAUUCAUAUAUGUUUCUUUGAAAAAUGUUCGUUUUUACAAGCUUUUGGAGCUACCAAUGGUGCUGCAUCUAAUGACAGUAUCAAGAAAAUGUAGGAUACUAUGUAAUGUGUACUAAUAAUUUACUAUGAGAUAAAAAAUGAAGUACUGACUGCCAGAUGUAUAUGAUGUUGUAUUUUUCUUGGAAGUUAGCAUUCUGCAUACUAAUAUAUUAUUCCGCUGAAUAUAGUAUAUUGAGCGAUUCCCUCUAAGUUCUUAAGUGAGUAUAAGAUAGUACACAUGCUGACUUGGUAGCUUUCGUACAAAUGUGGUGUUUCCUGCAGUCAUUGACUUCAAAUUAUUCAAGAAAAACAAGAUACACAAAGGAUAUAGGACUUCUUUACUUGCAUCAAAAGAAAUUUGGUAGUCGGUAAAUUAUGUUUAGAAUGAAUUUGAAAGGAAUUUUUUGUUUAUAUGAACGACAAAAACAACAAUAAGGUAGUAACAAAAGUAAGUAAGCGGUCUGAGCAUUGGCUUCACUUUUGUGUAACUUCUUUAUAGUCAUUCAGAACUUAUUUAUCUUCGGUGAAAUCUGAUUAUGUGUGGGGUUUCCUUUUGUAUUUGCAACUAUAGUGCAUGAUUUUUUAAUAAAAAAUAUACUCCAUGGUAUGUACAUUUAGGAAAUAAUUUUUGUCUCAAGAAUAUUAUACUGAAUACAUAUUGUGUAAUUACCUUGAUUAAUUCAACAACUAGCUUAUUUGGGCUUCUGAAAAAAUGAUAUGCAAUAUAAGAGAGAAUCAUAUAAUUCUUAGGUUAUAUUGAACUAAUGUGUUUAUAGUCUUAGCGGAAGUGGCAGGAGUACUAUAGUUGACCUACUACUUCAGCUAUAUGAAUCUACAGAUUGGCAAGCAAGCUAUUUUUCUGAGAAAAGAAAUGCUUGAUCUGCACGGUUCUGUGACUGGGUGUAGGUGGUGGGUGGUGCUCGAGCAGAGUUAAACAGAACAGUGUGUGAGCAGAGGCAUAGAUGGUGGUAGCAAGGCACAAGAGGGUUUAUCAUCACUGGUAUGACAAGAUCAGAUUAUUUAUUUGUGGUCAUCAGGUAACUUAUCUACACACAACUUUUUUAUGUGCAUCUACAAGAUCAAAACGGAAAAAAGAGGCACUACAUUUGGGCACUGAAAGCUUUAUUGAGCCAUUUUGUGUCAUUCAUUUUCUUUCAUACAAUGUAAACUGAAAUUUUGAAGUGAGGAAUAUUGUUCAAUUGGUCUCCUUUUUCGAGUUGGUUACUGUCUUGUUGAGCAACGUUUUCCCGGCAAUCUCCGCUUAUUAGGGUGGCCUCUAAAUUUCAGAUCUGGAAUUUCAUUCCAACUUAGGCCGUUUGGAAUUGGCAUAGCUUGACCUGUGAACUCUCAGCGCGGAGCGAUAGCGAAGCCUUCAGCCUUUAUUUUUUCGAGAGCCCCACAACUAGCUAUCUUAUAGCAAGGUGUUGCCACAUAGUUUUUAUAUCAUCGCAUCCAUUUUCUGGAAAAGGAUACACAUGCCAUUGUGUUACUUAUAGGUCUAAGUCUCCUUGCCCCAAAGCGGUGUUGCCUAACCGUUACUUCCUCACCUCAGCGGUGCCACCUAUAUUCUCUUGUUCAUCACCUGAGCAACACUCCCUCCCCUGCAUCUCAAUUGACGUUACUCUCGGUUCUACAUAUGUAUAAAUUCUGUUCUGGUACGUGUAGAAGGUGGUGAAAUUAUUUUUGGAGGAAUGGAUCCUAAACACUAUGUCGGUGAGAACACAUAUGUCCUAGUCAUCCAGAAGGGAUAUUGGCAGGUUAGUCUUAUUCUUGUGAAUUCACAAAGGGCAUCAAUUAAAAGGUGAUGUUGCAAGUUGCUAUGGGUUGCUUCAUAUAAUGUCUCAGAAAAGCAAAAGAUGAAAUGAAUUGUAUUUAGCAUAGAAAGUGAAGCAAUUAUGUUGUACAAUGAUAUUUUAAUCAGUGUCUAUGUCAAUUAUGUUGUCCCGUGGCAACACACGAGAAGUUAGCCAGUGUAAGUAAUAUUCCUAGCAUUACUUAUGGACCUUUGUGUAACUAUAAGUGUUCUCCAUUUUCCCCUAAAAUAUGCCUUGUGUGAAUCAUAGUUUUGUUUGGAUAAUGUGUGGAUAAGUAUCCUAUGCAUAACUGAUUAGGAAAUUGUAUGAAGAGAACAUUAUAUAUAUCCGCAUAGACGUUCUUAUUUCCUAGAAUAUAUUGACAUCAAAUAUUUAUUCUGUCGAUUUAAAAUCUGAAAUGAGAACUUCAUUUUGAGUUUCUAAUUUGUUACAGGUUUGGUUUCUCAAAGAUACAGAAGUUGAUGGAUGUUUGGAAGAUAUAUAAGUUGUUGGAGGUUUGGAAGAUCUACAAGUUAGUGGAGUGAAAAAUAUAUAUGUAAUAUGCCUUGUUUGUCAAACCUAGAGACAUUGCAAAGUUUUGCUCUGCUCAUUUUGGUGGUUUGUUUUGGCACACAAGCCUCUGUAUCCUCAUUUUGUUUGUGUGCCAGAUCUUUUGUUCAUUUUGAAACAUAUGUACAUAUGAAUUUGAUAUGUUUAUAUUACUGAAUGAGGCUUCACAUAUAACUUUGAUUGAAA